rnacentral:rRNA from 1 species
AAAUUGAAGAGUUUGAUCAUGGCUCAGAUUGAACGCUGGCGGCAGGCCUAACACAUGCAAGUCGAACGGUAGCACAGAGAGCUUGCUCUCGGGUGACGAGUGGCGGACGGGUGAGUAAUGUCUGGGAAACUGCCCGAUGG